UAAACAUCUAUUGUGGAUUCCA
rnacentral:siRNA from 1 species